rnacentral:misc_RNA from 1 species
UCUUGCGCUCCCGGGAUAUGCCUGGGAGCAUGCUUGUCGGGGAGGAGGAGGCGAAAACUCGCYCACAGCUUUGGGUUCGAUCUCGAUCUCAAGGCGGUGGAGCGGAAUCUGAGUGUUCCGGGGAGCGGUGGUGUGGUGUGUAUUUUUGUACAAGCUGCCUGCUCGUCCCCUGAGUCCACCAAAGCCUAGAGAGCUACCGAUUGUCCAGGCUUCUAUUGUCUUUGCGGCGCUGUAGACCGGUCCACCUUGCGUCCUCCGGAAGAUCCGUUGUUGACCGCGCCCCCUCUCACGGGGCGGGGACACCNACNAGKCGCCAGGGAUGUGCGCGGGUGACCAUGAGGCAUCGCUGGAGGCAAGUUUACCUUGCGUCCUCCGGAGGAUCCGUUGUUSACGGCGCCCCUCUUGAGGGGUGGGGACAC